rnacentral:rRNA from 1 species
CCCUUAGAUGUUCUGGGCCGCACGCGCGCUACACUGAUGCGUUCAACAAGUUUCCUUGGCCGAGAGGCCUGGGCAAUCUUCUUAAUAUGUAUCGUGAUAGGGAUAGAUUAUUGCAAUUAUUAAUCUUGAACGAGGAAUUCCUAGUAAACGCAGAUCAUCAAUCUGCAUUGAUUACGUCCCUGCCCUUUGUACACACCGCCCGUCGCACCUACCGAUUGGAUGUUCCGGUGAAGCCUCGGGAUGAGGACUGGUACCUUUAUUGGCAUGAGUUGUUCAGAACUUGUCUAAACCUUAUCAUCUAGAGGAAGGUGAAGUCGUAACA